AACGCACAUUGCGCCCUCUGGUAUUCCGGAGGGCAUGCCUGUCCGAGCGUCGUCAAACCCCCUCAAGCUCCUUUGCUUGGUCAUGGCGGAAGAUCCCCUCCCCGGAGGGGUUCCCCGCUCAAAGGGAUCUGGCGUGCGGACCCGUACUCGCAGACGUAGUAAGCAAUUCUAUCGUCCGCCGGGCUCGGGCCGCCCCGCCGACGCAACCCACAUCUUCUAGGUUGACCUCGGAUCAGGUAGGGAUACCCGCUGAACUUAA
rnacentral:misc_RNA from 2 species